rnacentral:rRNA from 1 species
UUCAGACGAUGCGUCAUGCAUAUCAAUAAGCGGAGGAAAAGAAACUAACAAGGAUUCCCUUAGUAACGGCGAGUGAAGCGGGAAGAGCUCAAAUUUGAAAUCUUAAAGGGUUUCCCUUUACGAAUUGUAGUUUAAAGAAGUGUUUUCUGUUAGAGUUUUGGUAAAAGUUCUUUGGAAUAGGACAUCAUAGAGGGUGAGAAUCCCGUAUUUGACCAGUUAUUUCCUAGCUUUGUGAUACACUUUCAAAGAGUCGGAUUGUUUGGGAAUGCAGUCCAAAAUGGGUGGUAAAUUUCAUCUAAAGCUAAAUAUUGGCGAGAGACCGAUAGCGAACAAGUACCGUGAGGGAAAGAUGAAAAGAACCUUGAAAAGAGAGUUAAACAGUACGUGAAAUUGUCAAAAGGGAAGCGUUUGACACCAGUGUUGUUUUCUCGAAAAUCAAUUAAAAAAGGCAGGAUUUUGUGUUGUAUUGACUUUAUCAGCUUUCUGCACUCUUUUCUUGUCUUUUUUUAAUGCACUUUUCGUUUAACAAGUCAACAUCAAUUUCUUUUGUUGUAAAAGGGUCAUUGGAAGGUGGCUUUCUUUUCGGAGAAAGUGUUUAUAGCCUUUGGCCUCUGCAAUCGGAGAGAUUGAGGUCUGCAGCGUAGAUCCUUCGGGGUUAGAUACAUUUGUGCUAAGUUAUAGCCUUUCAUAGACAACUUGUUGACUAUGAUCAGUCAUGUAGCUUACUCGCUUAUGCUAUUUUACCUACGCUUAGGAUGUUGAUCUACAGAGCGAGAGU